CCGCGACCCCAGGUCAGGYGGG
rnacentral:rRNA from 1 species